rnacentral:rRNA from 1 species
GAUGAACGCUGACAGAGUGCUUAACACAUGCAAGUCUUUGGCGAAGCUGUGCUUGCACAGCCUAGCCAAGGCGGACGGGUGAGUAACGCGUAAGGAACUUGCCCUGCAGUCAGGGAUAACAGACGGAAACGACUGAUAAGACCUGGUAAAGUCAGGCGGACUCAUGUCCAGCCUGAUGAAAAGAGAUGCUGCAGGAGAGCCUUGCGUCCUAUUAGCUUGUUGGUGGGGUAACGGCCCACCAAGGCGAUGAUAGGUAGCCGGCCUGAGAGGGUGGACGGCCACAAGGGGACUGAGAUACGGCCCUUACUCCUACGGGAGGCAGCAGUGGGGAAUAUUGGACAAUGGGGGCAACCCUGAUCCAGCAAUUCUGUGUGCACGAUGAAGGUUUUCGGAGUGUAAAGUGCUUUCAGCAGGGAAGAAAAAAAUGACGGUACCUGCAGAAGAAGCGACGGCUAAAUACGUG